UGUACCGAUUUACUCUAGUUGUGCCAGCCCAAUGUUUGAGAAUUAUCAAUGAAUCAGUAAGGGAGAAAGACCAUCAAAAUUUUUCCUGUACUUAUGGAUCUCAAAAAUUCUUCAUUAAAAAUAAUUUUUAAGCUGACUGUCUCAAGUUUCUGUAGGGACAGCUAUUAUGUAAAGAAAUCUCCUUCUGACUCUAUUUUAGCCCACCUAAUAAAAUCUGAUGGCAGCACAUGGAUUGCUUCAGGGAAAAUAGUUUCGGGGUUAAAAAAAGACUUAGAAUUAAACUUUAUAUCUUGCUCCAAAAGGACUCUGUCUCUGAGAGUAUAUGGAAACGAUGUUUCUAGAUGCACCCAUAAACCUAAAUAUUCUGAGUUACUCUUUCAACAUUAAUCCCACAUGAAUAUGCUUUGUCAUAUGUUGAAGAAAAGGUCUGUAGGUACUAUCACAGUCCACAGGUUGUUUCCCUUCAUUGUCUUUUUUGAUCUUUAUUGGUUUAAAAUCUGUUUUAUCAGAGACUAGGAUUGCAACCCCUGCAUUUUUUUUUGCUUUCCAUUUGCUUGGUAAAUAUUCCUCCAUUCCUUUAUUUUGAGCCUAUGUGUGUCUUUGUACGUGAGAUGGGUCUCCUAAAUGCAGCACACUGAUGGGUCUUGACUCUAUCCAAUUUUCCAGUCUGUGUCUUUUAAUUGGGGCAUUUAGCCCAUUUACAUUUAAGAUUAACACUGUUAUGUGUGAAUCUGAUCCUGUCAUUAUGAUGCUAGCUGGUAAUGUUGCCCAUUAGUUGAUGCAGUUUCUUCAUAGUGUCGAUGGUCUUUACAGUUUGGUGUGUUUUUGCAGUGGCUGGUACCGGUUUUUCCUUUCCAUAUUUAGUGCUUUCUUCAGGAGCUGUUGUAAGGCAGGCCUAGUGGUGACAAAAUCUCUCAGCAUUUUCUUGUCCAUCAAGGAUUUUAAUUCUCCUUUGCUUUUGAAGCUUAGUUUGGCUGGAUAUGAAAUUCUGGGUUGAAAAUUCUUUUCUUUAAGAAUGUUGAAUAUUGGCCCCCACUCUCUUCUGGCCUGUAGGGUUUCUGCAGAGAGAUCUGUUGUUAGUCUGAUGGACUUCCCUUUGUGGGUAACCUGACCUUUCUCUCUGGCUGCCCUUAACAUUUUUUCCUUCAUUUCAAUCUUGGUGAAUCUGACGAUUAUGUGUCUUGGGGUUGCUCUUCUUGAGGAACAUCUUUGUGGUGUUCUCUGUAUUUCCUGAAUUUGAAUGUUGGCCUGUC
rnacentral:lncRNA from 10 species